GAAGCGCUCGGAGUGUGGUCGGGGAGAGUUGUAUCGAUUUUACGAUCGGUCUUCGGUCUCGCGCGGGCUUAGUUGCGCCUCCACAGUUUCGCUUUAGUUUUUUAGUGGCCGUGCGACUCACCCUACGCAUCGUGUGUUCUAUAUGGAUAAAAAAUCGUGAAUGGGAUUACCAAUUAGGUGCUACAAAUUCGUGCGUUCGUUUACUCGAUAAUCGUCGUUUAAAAUCAUGACCAAGGAUAGAUUAGCAGCCCUCGUUGCGGCCCAGUCGGACGAUGACGACGUGGCGGACGAGGUGUCCGUUCCCGUGGGCGGUCAGGAUGAUUUCAUGACGGAAUUCUUCGCAGAGGUGGAGGAGAUACGUGAAAUGAUCGACACGAUCCAGACGAAUGUCGAAGAAGUUAAGAAGAAGCACAGCGCCAUCCUAUCAGCGCCGCAGACCGAUGAAAAAGUCAAAAUGGAAUUGGAGGAUCUCAUGGCCGACAUCAAGAGAACCGCCAACAAAGUCCGAGCCAAGUUAAAGGUGAUCGAACAGAACAUCGAGCAGGAGGAGCACACGAACAAAUCCUCAGCGGAUUUGAGGAUACGUAAGACUCAACACUCGACGUUGUCUAGGAAAUUCGUCGAGGUUAUGACCGAGUACAAUCGAACGCAGACCGAUUACAGGGAAAGGUGUAAGGGAAGAAUACAGCGACAGCUCGAAAUCACGGGGAGAACCACGACUAACGAGGAACUCGAAGAAAUGCUUGAGCAAGGAAAUCCGGCGGUAUUUACUCAGGGGAUUAUAAUGGAAACGCAACAAGCCAAACAGACACUCGCCGAUAUCGAGGCUCGUCACGCUGACAUUAUAAAAUUAGAAAAUUCCAUCAGAGAACUUCACGACAUGUUCAUGGACAUGGCAAUGCUUGUCGAAAGUCAGGGCGAGAUGAUAGAUCGCAUAGAAUACCACGUGGAGCACGCGGUCGACUAUGUCCAGACAGCGACCCAGGACACCAAAAAAGCACUCAAGUAUCAAAGCAAAGCCCGACGGAAAUUGAUCUUCAUCGUAGUCUGCCUGACAGUGGCGGUCAUCAUUUUAAUUAUCAUUCUGGUUGUUAAUUUGUCAUAAUGACGGGAAUGAGCGAAGAACGCCAUUUAGCACUUGCAUCAAAUCAUUUGGAAUUGAACGAGAGACAAAAAAAUACUUAAAAUCGUGAUGAUAACGUUAUAUGGCGGCGUAUUCGAUAAUGGAAUCUAAAAUCUUGUAUAUUUCACCGAGCAUCGGGUUUUUUGCAUCGGGAUGAGAGGUCGGAGGGGGAGGGGGGAAGCUGUCGGUCGUCUCGACCGCCGCAAGUUAAGUUGAUUCUAAUUUCUCAUCGAUCUAUAUAUCGAUUGCACCGAGAGUUAAGUCAUCGUAUAAAUAGCCUCACCGAUCUUAUUUACUAAGUUUAUUAUUAUUAUUAUUAUUAUUAUUAUUAGCAUUAUUAUUAUUUGUAUUUUUCUUUUCGUCGUUAUUCCUACUAUUACUACUACUGAUACUAAUAUCGCUAUUCACAAUACCACGGUUAUUAUUAUUCUUAUUAUUAUUAUUAUUACCACUAUCGUUCGAUGAUUAUUUAUUAUAUUGUUUCAAUUAAAAAACGUUACUUUUAUCCCAACGAUUUGGUUUGUUUCCUCAUUGAAAAAUGGCUGAUAGAGGGCAACGUCGAUGAAACUGCGGUUGUGCGCGUUGUUCCGCGCGAAAUCGUUAUUACGCCGGUGAAUUUAGAAAAAAAAAGAAAACGCUCCGUUGAAGGAACAGUAAGCGCACGAUCGAGAGUCUAUUAUCGCCAUAAGCCGGUUCGAUAUUCGCUCGAGCAUAAUAAAUUCAUGAAAAAAAAAGUUGAUCGGCCAAAGAGGAAGGAAAAAAAAACGAGUAUGAAAGAAUGAGGAAGCGUGCACAUAAGGUUGACCGUCGCUAUACGAAUGAAGAUAAAUAUAAAAAUAAUGCCCAUUCGACUCGAUGUAAAAUGUAAAUAUGCGGCGUGCUACGAUCAGUUGUAAAAUAAGUGAAGAGUAGGAAGUAACGAAAAUGUUAUGGCAAACUAUGAAUGGUAGUUUACCAAUGAUAAUGAUUUAUCGAUAAAAAAGACGUUUGAAAAAGAAAUUUAUCGUUUAACGAAUUGCGCUCGUAAUGAAUAUUAUUACAAUACUCUACGCGAUAAAUGAAUAAUAAAUGGAAAGAGAGUGAGAUGGAUAAGAUGGGCGAGUUAAUAAUGACGAAUACCCGACGACGGAGAUAACACGAGAAAUCAAACGACGAUAAUAAUAAAAUAAUUAGGAAAAUAAUAAGAAACGAAUAAACUGAUUGGGACGGUAUACGAGAGUGUUAAAAUUUUCCAAAAUAAUUCGACACAAAUCGAAAAUAGAUAAUAAAUUCUCACGUAUGGCUCAUUAACGACUAGGGGAAUGCAAUGAAAAUGAGAAUAGCGAAGCGAAAUUACUUUCGAAUAGGAAACGAUCCCGGUAUAGUGUGAUUUUUGCGGGGAGGGACGGGGGGCCUCCGAGGGAAAAACGUGGCGAUGCGCACAGUCGCGUCGUGACAAAGGGAGGACGAAAAAUUAAGCAAACGUUCGAACGAUGCGAGACGAGGGAAACACAGGAACGAACCACGUUAAAAGUGUACUUUUUUGGCUAGUGCGUUUUAGCCACUUCCACUUGGAGUUUCAAAGAAGAUCAUGAUCAUGAUCUGUCUGACUGUACUGGCCGUCAUCGUUGCUACUACCAUUGGCAGUUACUUUGGACUGUGAACGCGAAAACCAGGAACCUCGGAGGGCAUUAAGAUCGAGAGGACCCUCAUCGCCGGAUUCCAUGGCCUCGCUUCAUUGAUCGUUCCCGAAAUAUAUAAAAGUUCACGCAUACGACGAAAGAGUCGCUUUAAGUUAUCGAAGGAUCAUCGCUCCGAGAAAAUUUGGGAGAAAAGAAGAGCGAAAAAUGAGCGGUCACCAUGGAUUAUUGAAAUAGUUUAUUUCAUCAAAAGUGGAAUAAGAAAAGAAAUUCGAGUCCCAAUCACUGUUAUCGCGCAUCAAUUACACUCUCGUAUUCAUUGUCUCGUCACGAAUGAAAGGAUCAUGAAGCGUCUCUCAUUCAGUCCCAAGCUGUCGUCGUCGCCGUCGUCAUGGUUUCUGCAAAUGAACACUGGUCGUUGAAGAGCUUGCCGCAAGUACCGCUGGUUCGGAAGAAGACAGAAGAACGAAGAGGAAGAUAGGCAACUUGACCGCGACGCGCCUAAACUAUUUAUUGUUUAAGCUGUGAAGCACACACGAUUGAAUAUUCUUUAAGGCCGGAGUUUCGGUCUGUCAUUCGUACGCUCUCUCUCUCUUUCUCUCUUGGCCUCUCUACGAAUGCGUUCGACUUGUGGAAGCUUUCGUGCACCAAGCGCCGGAGGCUCUCGAGUCUAACGCACUCGCUGCUGUAUCGGCCUCUCUCCGCGAGGGGAUCAACGAGGAAGGAAGAAAGAGAGCGAGAGAGAGGGGGAAUACGCGGAUCGUCGGGAUUCGCCGGGUGAUAAACUUAAGCUAAAUGAUGCAUACUUAGGAGGCAGACUCACAAAAUAAAUCGACAAAUAAGGAAGAAAGCGAAAAAUAAUCGUGAACCGCGUCCUGCCGAUCUUCACCAUAAGAGGUUUAUCGACGAAUUAAUUAACAUUUUGCUGCAGCAAUAAUAUAAUUAUAGGUGUUAUAUCGGAAGUAUAUUUAUUAAUAGAGAAUGAUUGAAGAAAGGAGAAGGAAAAAGGGAGCGUGAGAGAGGCGGUGGAGGAGAAGAAUCAGAAUUCACUCGAGUGGGCAGUUUUUAUUCUUUCUCUUUGCAAGCCAAUGCCAACGUACGGUGCGCAUACGCACCGAUAUACAGGCGUAUGCGCGCGUUACGAGAUUCAUGAGAGAGUUGUGAACGCUAGAGAGAGAGAGAGAGAGACGGCGAGAAGAACAACUCUGUGCUCAUUUCAAUCGGCAAUAAUUGACCGAUGAAUCCGGUCAAUACUGUAUUACGUCGAUGUUUUUCAUUGAGUACGUCAGGUUGGAGGAGGAAGGAAGGAACGAAAUAAACGAAUAUAGAAAUAAACAAUAAUAAUUGAAAUAUAAAAAGUGGCGUUUGCACUCGGGGCUCACAAUGCGAGUGAGACAAAAGAAAGAGGAGCGAGGACACCUUGUAUUGUACAGAAAGUGUAAUUUGUUAGAUCGUUAUUUGACCCGAUUAUUCAAUUCUGAGCUAACGUAUGUAUACAUAUAUAUGUGGACUCGUAUAUGUUUGUAUACAUACGCGAUAUCGUGAUUCAAAGAACGGCGACGUUAUAGCCACUGAUGACGAAAUAAUUAUUCGGCUAAUCAAUCGAUUUGGUUUUCGAGCGAGUCUCGAUACGCGUGUUACUUACAGUUAUUUUGUUGUAUGAAAGAAAAUAGCGAAACAGUCGAGGCACGUGCGCGCGAAGGCUCACGACUUUCGAAACUCUUGAAAAUUCUUACGAAGGAAGGAGUAUCGAAUUGUUGAGAGGGAUGAGAGGGUCGCGUCAUUAAUUAUUCUCUCCGGCGCUACCCUAACGAGAUGCCUCCCGAAUUGAGAAACGACCGAAUCCUCAUUCGUCUCAAAAUGACCAAACCGCUCCCGCUCGUAUCAUCGCGCGUUCUUGUUCUUCGUUGCGUCACCGAAUCUCGUCGAUGACGGGCGAUAGUUUGAGCGCAUAUCAGGACUCGUCUCUGUAGAAUUCCGCAAUCGCUUCCCUUAUCGUCAUCGUGUGUUUCGGUAGCUCGGUUUUCCUUGCUUUUUUUUCUCUUUCUUUAUUUUCUAAGCCUAAUCGCUGAAGAUAGUAUUUAAAGAUUUUUUUUUCAAUACGCGUCGGUCGAAAAAUUCCCGUGUUCAUCGGUAAGCCGCGUUUGGAGUGCUUUUGAAAAACUACGAAAAAUCGAUCAAGAGUGAAUAAAAAAAUGUCAAUUGUGUUUGGAAAUCCCAUCCGGUUUAGCGUGAUUUUCGUUUUCAACAGAUGAUGAAGAAUGACGAUAACGACACUAUAAAAAUCGCAAAGAAAAUCUCGAAAGUCCAAGCGCGAUGAUGUUUCAUUCUCAAUCCGUCGCGCCACACCGAGCGUUGUCAUAAUUCUAAAAACCGCUCGCAAUCCUAAGAACAAAUGUAUCGUUAGGCGUCGUAUAACAAGGACGGGAUCGCACGGGUCGCUAGCCCGGCUCCGGACUCGCUUCUUCGACUCUCGUAACUUCCUGUAACGAUCAUAUAACGACGGCCCGAGCGAUGACGCCACGAUCUCAAAACUACGACGCAUCCAAACGCGCAAAUAACUCUCGCGUUGUCGGUUUGCUUUGCCGACUCAAUCCUCGUUGCUGCAUCGAUCAUCGAAUCGACUCGAUCGAAAAACGAAACGGAACGUCCGUUCGGGGGUGGAGAACGAAAGAGGGAGGCAGGCAGGCAGUUACGGGGGCGUGAAUAAUCGAAGGUAGUAAUAACAAUAAUAAUCAUAGGAGAAUGAAAUCUCUCGUGAAAACGACACAGCGUGUUGGAAGGCUGGCGGGAAAAAGGGUGGAGAAGAAACAGCGAUCGAAGACUCGUUAGAUUUCAGUCGAUUCGAGUCGCUCCGCAGGAGCUGUUUUUUGUUUUUGAUUUUCGCGCGCUCGAGAGUAACGAAUAAAAGUUCAGCCUUACGCGGCAAGUCCUGUCUUGGAUAUUGAAAAAAUCGUGUAUAGUAAAAUACCGAUAAAAGUAUAUAAUUACGGAAUACAAAGGGGUCCCGAGGCUACGAUCGAAUUGUGUGAAUACACAUUUAAUCGUAUUUUUCAAUACUUUUGAGCUGCUCCAAUGGAAAGGAGAAAAAAACGAACGUUUCCCCUCGGAAUACAAAAGCGGGGAAUAAAAUGCUUCUUCGAGUUACGGCCGAGUAUGAUAUAGAGAUAUGCGUAUAAUAGAUUAUAUUGGGAUGCACGCGCGCACCAAUCAUAUAGAGAAAAGAAACUUUCGAGCUUGGGGCUUUCUCAAAGCAGCGUUGAUCGAGGCACGAAGCAACAAAUGUCGGGCAGGAACGCGCUGCUUCUACAUCCUUAUUAAAUAAACGUGAAAACUGCAAUCGUCUCAUAGCGAGGUAGCUCGCAACAAGUCACCGUCGCGUUUUCGAUUUCGAGCCUAAUCUCAAAAUGCGCGCGUUAUUUAUCGAGCUUCGAGUCGUUCGUUCGGCCGGUCCGUGUCCGUCGGUGUUCCACCUUCCCCGAACGUGAAAACGAUCGAUUCGAGAUGUUUUAACAUACUAUUUCCGAUAAAAAAAAAAAACAAAAAAGAAGAAAUUGAGAUUGAACGAAUUCGGCUCGCCCGUUGCGCUCGAUCUCGUAUUGAACCGGAUCUGGGACGACUGGCGCAUCGUCCCAGUUAUGUUCGACGACGAUCUUCGUUUCAUUGUCAAUUUAGCGCUCGCUGCAUGAAAACGAGGUUGAUGCGCCGCCGCGCGAUAAAUAACUAUGAUAAGUGGAAACGAAUGUUGCGCCCAAUCAUUGUAAAAAUUCACAUUAGAAAUUUCUUCAUUCGUCUCAUCCCGAUGCGAGCUGGAGGCGAGAGCUAGUUUCGUUAUCCGCGCGCGUUUUAUUCAUACGCGAUCAAUCACACACGGCUCUUGAAUAUAUAGAAAAUGGUAUCCCUCGUUAUAGGAAUUGAUCGGAAGAAAAUGAAAAUAAAAAUAAAAUAAAAGAGAGAGAGAGAGAGAAAGAAGAGAGAAGAAACAGCAACGUUAUAAUAAUAUAUAAAAGUUAAUUAAUGAAAAUUUCUUAUCGAUAGAAGAAUAUACGAGAGUAAUGUUUGAUCUUAGAAAAGUGCACAAGCGAUUGGGUGUUUACGAGUUUGAGGCCUAAACUUGGUUCGUUGAGGUUGACCUCUGAAAUAAUAGUACGUCAUCGCGCCUUGAAACUCCUUUGAGUCUAGUCGAGAAUAAAGCCGAGUGGUAUUUUUCGUGGGAAUACCCGGAUGCCCGGCGGCGGUGAUGCAACAGCCUCCGCCCCUUUUCGACGACGAUUAUUAUAUAGGAGAGGGUGCGAAUUAUCCGCCAACUCGCGACUCCAAAAAAUUCUCCUCUCAUCGUUCAGCAUAUGCUUCGUUACGCUCCUUCCAAUAUCUGUUCGGACUAUAUAUCGCCUUUAUUCGAAUCUCACUGUACAACGUAUGAAUAAUUUCAUAAAUCUGCUUAGCCACCGUCUGUGAACUCUGCGUAACGCGUUACGACUAUUCCCGAAGCGAAUGGAAAGCCGUGUCCGACGAGCGCUCGGUUUCAUUUUUGCGGAAGCAAUUGUCACACGCAUAUCCGAUCGAGAUUCGUUUCACUCGGGAGUUCGAUUGAGGCACGACUCUGCUACGAUCGAUUUACCGCUCGAAUGAGCCACGACGCUCCAAAUUGACAAACCCAAAAAAAAAAAAAAGAGAGAGAAAAAACAAACACUUCCUCCCGGAGAUUUCUCCAACUUUUCAUCGAAAAAAAUCUUGAACGCACCAAACUAUUUCUUUCCUCCGUCAUUGAUGUUUUCUCCAAAUAACAAUAACGAUAAUAAUAUAAUAAUAUUAAUAUUAAUAAUAUAAUAAUAAUAAUAAUAAUACGAAUGUGAUUCAAAGCCCCGCCGCGCAUGAUAAUGUUACAUUCUAUCCGUACGUGCAACAUAUUGCCAAGUUUCCAACUAUUCUUUGUGUACCAAAGUCGGUAGUGAUGAAGAAACAACGUUUUUAAUGCGUGUGCCUCGCUCGAACACCAUCCGUUCGGCCGGGUGGCACGGUCGUAUUUAGCUUGACAACCAGAAUUACAACCGGUACAACCAUUUCGCUGUGUAUGUCGCUCGUUGGGCGUCGCUCGAGGCAAUUUUAAUCUCAUUAUUACACGGCCAAAUGGUUGAGCCGAAUACCGAUGCGGUGUAACGAACUGAAAACAAUAAUAGAAAGAAAGAAAAAAAAAAAAAGAAAAAAAGAAAUGUAGGAAAAGAAAAAGAAUUGAGAAUAAAAGUUAAGUUGGCAUUACAACGGAAACGAGUUACGUGUACGCGUAACUGUGUAUGUUGACGCUAUUGUUGAACGCCCUCAUCCGCAUUUUUCGUCGAAUGAAAUGUGCUAAAUGUCCAUUUCAAGUAGCGGAACAUUUCUUGCCUCAGGAUUGUACGUACUACUUGGAUCGGAGCGUACUCCUAAGGGGAGGCAAAAUUGGGGAAAAAAGGGAAGAAACGAAAAUGUGUGAUAAGAAUGGAAUUCUAUAAUUCAUGGCAAAUUAGAGGGCAAAAAAAUACGUGUAUGGGUCGUAUCACAUCGGUGCAAUUAUAUAGAGAAAAAAGAAACUAUAUUAAAAACAAAAUAAGUAAAUAAUAAUAAUAAUAAUGAUGAUGAUGAUGAUGAUGAAAAAAAAGAACUAACUACGAAAGGCUAUUUGAGUAACCUUAUGAGUGUCAAUUCCACUUUCAAACUGAGUCAUUAUUUUGAGGUAUGAAGAAAAGAGAUGAAAAACGAGGCGAACGGGCGUUAGGUAAAAAAGGGGGGAAGCAAGGAAGAGAUGAAAAAAAGACGGUGGGAAAGAGGCUGGGAGGAAAUACGAUGUAUUGGGAAUUGCGAAAAUCGAAUACGCUAUGACGGAGAUAUAUUGCGUGGCACUUGGACAUUUAUGCGACAAAGUGAGAUUAUUGAUAAUAUAAAUUAAAGAAAUACAGAGAAAAACAAAGUAAAUAAACACGAAGAAAAAGAAGACGACGAUAUAGCGAGAAGAGGCAUUGAAUGAUAUGGCGAAUACUUUUUAUUGUAGGUAUUUCAUAGGAACAAAAAAAAUCAUUAAUAAAGAUAUACUGUAUUAAAAAUUACUUAUCAAAUAAAUCAAUGAUGUUUUCUGCCUAUACUACAUCUUAAGAUACGUAUAUUGGGUAAUUUCGAACGGAACAGUCAUCCCACCAAAUUUCUUGGCGACCGCGUAUAUUUUUCGCCACUGUCGUUUAUAUUUUCAUUCUUGUUCUCGUUCGCAUCAUCAUCGUUUGUCCUGUUAUAUCCAGAAUUGCGAAGUUGAUCCUAGGAACGUUUUAUAAUUGCUAAACUCGUUUGAAGUUAAAGGACGAGAAGGUCGAACGAAAGUUGUUCCGUUAAUAAAGCUGAGUCUAUGGGCGGCGCAUGGUUAAGCUUUUUUUUUUUAUAGAUUUUUAAUGGAAAAGUCAUCCGUGAGGUGGGAAAGCUUGCAAGUUUUUCAAUAAAAUUGCAAGAACUUGAGCGCUUACUUCGACAAAUAUAUAACGAUAUUAAGGUAUGCGCCGUGUGUAUAAUGCGAUAGAGAAAUGUACUUACUUCGGAUACUCCAAGCUUUCUAUUCAACAUUUUGCCCGAAAAUUCAUGGUUUUAGGUCCCUGCACGCGACGCGACAUGAGGCCACUGCUCGAUUCAUUCAUGAAAUUUCAAGAUUUAAAGUCAUCGAGAAUUUUUUUUCGAUUCAGCGACUCGAUCGAGGAAACGGUGGCGCAUUUUGUCAUGGCCGAGAGUCGAUCGCGCAUCGUCCGAGUUGCAUUUGUCGAGGCGUCUCUCAAUAGUUUUUCACCCUUGUUCGGAGAGACGAAAAAUAUUGAAUUUCCUAACUUUUCGUCUUGUUAUUUUGCCGCUUAUUAUUCGAUACACGCAUUUCGGACGCCGUUUCUCGGACGAUUCUCACAUGUACCUUACCGCGCUUCCUCUCAUUUUAUUAUAAUCUUUUAUCCCGUUGAGUUAUUUCAUCAAGUGUCUUUAGCGCUAACGAUUCAAUAGGCUCGCGCGCGCGAGCGCGUAUGCGCGGCUAAAACCUCGACGAGUGGUGCCAGCGGCGGAGCUGAGGUUCAUUUGCAGUGCGAUAGAUAAGAGUCUCGAGCCAUUUAUUUGGGAGAGAGCGUUGUGGAUGCGGAAUAUUAAAAUUUCGCUCGUGUCGAUGCGAAGGAGAAUCCGGCGCGGCGCGUAUAUGCAUUCGACCCCACCCACCCGCCGAGACUCUUCGGGUACAAGUUCAAGACUUUUGACAUAUCGGUCGGCACAUCGGUUGAUCCCAAAUUUAAUUAAUUAAAUAAAAGCAUUCUUCGAUCGCGUGUUAAAUGCAGAAAAAAUGGAAAUAAUGUUUUGUAUAUACGAGAAUGAAAAAUGUAGAAAACAAUGUACAACCGCGAAGUUUGGAAUACGUCGCGCCACCCCCGCCGCCCUCGUCGUUUCGCCAACACUCGCAAUCCGCGCGCAUACCAUUAUUUUCACAAUUUAUAUAAUUAAUAAAAGUAAAAUAAAUGAAUAAAUGAAUGGAUCGAAAUCUAGAAUAAAAUGGUCGGAAUAAAAACAACUCGGUAGUUCAGUUGGGCCGAAAAAGCCUGCGAAGCAAUCCUAAACAACGAGAGCAUUCCCAUAAAUGAAUUUCAGCCAAGAUCCUUUACAAAAGUAUCGAUCCCGAAGGGCCUACAGUCGUUGUUGUUGGGACGGUGGCGGUGGCGGUGACGUAGAAUCAAUGCGAGAACUCGAAGAGAAUCAACCGAGCGAUUCGUCGUAGCUAAUUUUUUAUCGCGGCCAUAUAACAUAUAUUUUAUUUAAAAAUAUGUAACAUUAUUAGUGGAUGCCCGAGACGAUGGACAUUAGACUAGACGACGGAAGGAAGAGCAUUGCGAUUGGCCAAGUGAUACGAGCCUCGCGAAAAUAAUUGACGACGAAAGGAUAAAUAAAAAACGAGAAUACUAAAUGUAGCAAGCAAUAAUAAUAAUAAUAUUAAUAAUAAUAAUAAUUCGACAGACGUGAUUCUCUCAAAUGUCGCUUAAUAAUGAGGAACGUUCGUUAUUAUUAUUGUUAUUAUUAUUAUUAUUAUGAUACAUAUUUGUGGGGAUGAUAGAGUAUCGGACAUUAAAGUCUUGGUAAGAAGAAGAAACAUUUUUAUUAUGCGUCUAUCAUAAAGAUAAAAAAAGGGCCGAUUUACUGGCCCAACGUACAGCAGCAUCGUUUUGCAUAUACAACACAAUCUGUACAAUUGCAUACACGAAAAAAAAAAAGAAGCACUGCGCCCAAACGAAGAUAUAGAAAAGAAUAGGCUCGUCGAAAUGAUAGCGAUUUCAAAGUUUUUUGUGUCACUGGAGCGCGUAGUAUUGAAUGUUCUAUUAUUAAAAUGCACCAUGAUAAUAUUAUCAUCGUUGGAUUAUCUCCAUGGGACUUGAAAUAAAAUGAAUCCGAAAUUAUAAUAUACUCGGAAGAUUAGAUUCCAUUCGACUCGCUCGAUCGGCAGCCGAUUGUAUACCUUUCGCAAUAAGACAUUCAAUAAUCAUUUGAGAAGUAUAAAUGGAACCUUUCUACCACCGCUAUUGUAACUUUUUGUUGUACAACUUGUUGAUGAUGAAUCGGAUUGUAGACAAAAAUCAACCAUAUCAAUUUAACGAUUAUUCUCUCUUGUAAAUACACGAUAUUCUAUAUAAUGCACCUGGUUGUAGAGCGCGCAGAGUAGACAAUAAUAUUAAAAUUGUGUCGUGUUUAGAGCGCUUGAGAUAUAAAGAAGAAAAUGCGAGUUUGAGGAUCACACGAGAGACAAGAGACGGUGAAUUAAUCACUUUCAAUCGCAAACAUAGCUGCUCAAAAGUCCCAUGGUUGGGUAAUCGCUCUAGUUCAUAAUAAAGCAAUUAUUUCAUUCAAACGUUAAAUAUAUUGUAAAAUGUACAUUCUGAGAACGGAAGUAAAAUCUAUUAAAAUCUUCAA